AGUUAAGGGAUUGGGAAUCAAUUUCCAGAGAAUGACAUUUACCAGGAGGCAGGAGAUAACCAAUGUUCUGGUCGAGCACCUAAAGACAACUGCUGCCAAAUUCAGCAUGCCAGGUUGCAGACAGAAAACUGAAAGCGCUGCUGAAUGGCUCGACACCAACUUGGGUCGAUUCUCCUCUUUAGCCAGUUACUCAGACCUCAAGUCCCUGAACAUUAGCAUGGUAACGUACCAUCUUUUUCUUAUCUUUCCUUUCUACAGUUUUGUUGUUGUUGUUUGUUUGCUUGGUUUAGGUCAGGCACCAAAGCACUGGCGGUCUUGCAUAAUGUCCUCUGGUGUUGUGUUUUUGCUUUGUUCAUCUUAGUUGGCAGCUCUGGGAUCCCUAGCACCCGAUCAGAAAGCAGAGCUACUGCUGGAUCCAUCCACCGAUGCUCUAGACAAUGUCACCGUGGUACAGGAGGUGUUGACCAGCAUACUGACGUCUCCAGAUGAGAAACAACUUGAGAUGUUUUUUGAAACAUUUGUGAAAGUCAGCAAAGUGGAAAGUAUAACCUACAUCGAAAAUGUGGCUGUCCGAGACACAAUGCUGAAUCUGACCAUGACUGCCCUGGCUCCCAAACUUCCCCUAUUUGAAACAAGCGACUAUGAGCUGUGGUUCCAAACCAAUCUGGUGGUCCUGCUGGCCAGCUUCAGUCCUACAGUGCUGGAAGUCAUCCCUGCCAACAUCACAUGCGAAUCUUACCAAGCAAUACUGGAAGGCAUGAAGAUAGCUUUGGCAGAUCUUCCGUCAGGAGUUGGAGUAGAGCUAAAUUCAAGUGUAGACAAACUUCAACAUUCACCACCAAAAGCCUGCAUGACUGCACCACCCACCACACCCCCCACAGUGCCCCCCACCAUGCCAUACACUUUGACACCAACUGCUCCAAACACUGGGCCACCGAUUGCUCAACCCACUGCAACCCCCACUAUGCCAUCCACCACACCAUCCACGGUACCACCCACUGCACCACCCACCACCCUCACAGUACUCCCCACACUGACAUACACCAUGCUACCCACUUCUCCAAACACUGUGCCACCCAUUGUUCCACCCACUGCACCACCCACCACACCCCCUACAGCAGCCCCCACGCUGCCAUACACAAUGCCAAACACUGCUCCAAACACUGCGCCACCUAUUGCUUCACCUACUGCAACCCCCACCAUGCUAUCCACCACACCUAUUACAGUACCACCCACUGCACCACCCACCACAGUACCCCCCACGGUGCCAUACACCAUGCCACCCACUGCUCUAAACACUGCGACAGCUAUUGCUCCACCCACUGCUUCUCCCACCAUGUCAUCCACUACACUAUCCACGGUAGCACCACCCACCACACCACCUACAGCACCCCCCACGCUUCCAUACACCAUGCCACCCACUGCUCUAAACACUGCGACAGUUAUUGCUCCACCCACUGCAUCUCCCACCAUGCCAUCCACUACACUAUCCACAGUAGCACCCACUGCACCACCCACCACACCCCCCACAGUUCCCUCCACACUGCCAUACACCAUGCCACCCACUUCUUCAAACACUGUGCCACCAAUAUCUCCACCCACUGCAACCCCCACUAUGCCAUCCACAGUACCACCCACUGCACCACCCACCACACCUCCUACAGCACCCCCCACGCUUCCAUACACCAUGCCACCCACUUCUCCAAACACUGCGCCACCUAUUGCUUCACCUACUGCAACCCCCACCAUGCCAUCCACCACACCUACUACAAUACCACCCACUGCACCACCCACCACACCCCCCACAGUACCCCCCACGCUGCCAUACACCAUGCCACCCACUGCUCUAAACACUGCGACAGCUAUUGCUACACCCACUGCAUCUCCCACCAUGCCAUCCACUACAUUAUCCACAGUAGCACCCACUGCACCACCCACCACACCCCCCACAGUUCCCUCCACACUGCCAUACACCAUGCCACCCACUUUUCCAAACACUGUGCCACCAAUAUCUCCAUCCACUGCAACCCCCACUAUGCCAUCCACCACACCAUUUACAGUACCACCCACCACAGCCCCUACAGCACCCCCCACGCUUCCAUACACCAUGCCACCCACUGCUCUAAACACUGUGACAGUUAUUGCUCCACUCACUGCAUCUCCCACCAUGCCAUCCACUGCACCAUCCACAGUAGCACCCCCCACAGUUCUCUCCACACUGCCAUACACCAUGCCACCCACUUCUCCAAACACUGUGCCACCGAUAUCUCCACCCACUGCAACCCCCACUAUGCCAUCCACCACACCAUCCACAGUAUCACAGACUGCACCAGCCACCACACCCCACACAGUACCCCCCACACUGCCAUACACCGUGCCACCCACUUCUCCAAACACUGUGCCAUCUAUUUCUCCAACCACUGCACCACCCACCACAUCUUCUACAGAACCCCCCAUGCUGCCAUACACCAUGCCACCCACUGCUCUAAACACUGCGACAGCUAUUGCUCCACCCACUGCUUCUCCCACUAUGCCAUCCAUUACACCAUCCACAGUACCACCUACUGCACCACCCACCACAGCUCCCACAGUACCCCCCACGCUGCCAUACACCGUGCCACCCACUUCUCCAAACACUGUGCCACCUAUUGCUCCAACCACUGCACCACCCACCACAUCUUCUACAGUACCCCCCACGCUGCCAUACACCAUGCCACCCACUGCUCUAAACACUGCAACAGUUAUUGCCCCACCCACUUCAUCUCCCACCAUGGCAUCCACUACACUAUCCAUGGUAGCACCCACUGCACCACCCACCACACCCCCUACAGCGCCCCCUACGCUGCCAUACACCAUGCCACCCACUGCUCUAAACACUGCGACAGCUAUUGCUCCACCCACUGCAUCUCCCACCAUGCCAUCCAUUACACCAUCCACAGUAGCAGCCACUGCACCACCCACCACACUGCCAUACAGUAUGCCACCCACUGCUAAAAACACUGUGCCACCUAUUGCUCCACCCACUGCAACCCCCACCUUGCCAUCCACCACACCAUCCACAGUACCACCCACUGCAACAACUACCACACUCUCCACAGUGCCCCCCACCUUGCCAUCCACCACACCAUCCACAGUACCACCCACUGCACCACCGACCGUGUCCCCCACCGCUGUUGUAAGUACUUCAUCUGUUGGCAUUCUGUUUGAGUCAGGAUAA
rnacentral:lncRNA from 1 species